CUGAUUAGCUAGUUGGUGAGAAAAAAGCCCACCAAGGCAACGAUGAAACUUAAAUGAUUUCUUCGGGAUGAACUUAAGUGGAUUAGUGGCGGACGGGUGAGUAACGCGUGAGUAACCUGCCUUACACAAGGGGAUAGCCGUUGGAAACGACGAAUAAUACCCUAUGAAACUAUCACUUCGCAUGAAGCGAUAGUCAAAGUGUUAGCGGUGUAAGAUGGACUUGCGUCUGAUUAGCUAGUUGGUGAGAAAAAAGCCCACCAAGGCAACGAUCAGUAGCCGGCUUGAGAGAGUGUACGGCCACAUUGGGACUGAGACACGGCCCAGACUCCUACGGGAGGCAGCAGUGGGGAAUUUUGCACAAUGGGGGAAACCCUGAUGCAGCGACGCCGCGUGAUUUAGAAGGCCUUCGGGUUGUAAAAAUCUUUUGUAUAGGAAGAAAAUGACAGUACUAUACGAAUAAGGUCCGGCUAAUUACGUGCCAGCAGCCGCGGUAAUACGUAAGGACCGAGCGUUGUCCGGAAUCAUUGGGCGUAAAGGGUACGUAGGCGGGUCAUUAAGUUAGAAGUUAAAGGCUAUAGCUCAACUAUAGUAAGCUUCUAAAACUGGAGACCUUGAGUAAUGGAAGGGAAAGUGGAAUUCCUAGUGUAGCGGUGNAAUGCGCAGAUAUUAGGAGGAAUACCGGUGGCGAAGGCGACUUUCUGGCCAUUAACUGACGCUGAGGUACGAAAGCGUGGGUAGCAAACAGGAUUAGAUACCCUGGUAGUCCACGCCGUAAACGAUGAGUGUUAGGUGUCUGGAGUAAAUCUGGGUGCCGCAGCUAACGCAUUAAACACUCCGCCUGGGGAGUACGCACGGACCGAGCGUUGUCCGGAAUCAUUGGGCGUAAAGGGUACGUAGGCGGGUCAUUAAGUUAGAAGUUAAAGGCU
rnacentral:rRNA from 1 species